ACAAAGAACAGUUUGCUCCUGGCUCAGGAUGCACGCUAGCGGCAGGCUUAACACAUGCAAGUCGAGGGGCAGCGAGGGUAGCAAUACCUGUCGGCGACCGGCGGAAGGGUGCGUAACGCGUGAGCAACUUGCCCGUAUCCGGAGGAUAAGCGAUGGAAACGCCGUCUAAUACCCCAUAACAACAGAGGCCGCAUGACCUUUGUUUGAAAGCUUCGGUGGAUACGGAUAGGCUCGCGAGACAUUAGCUAGUUGGUGAGGUAACGGCUCACCAAGGCUACGAUGUCUAGG
rnacentral:rRNA from 1 species